rnacentral:rRNA from 1 species
ACCCAUCCAGGAAGGCGCAGGCGCGUAAAUUACUCAUGUUGACUCGACGAAGUAGUGACGAGAAAUAACAAUGUGGAGCGCUUCGCGUUUUACAAUUGGAAUGAGAGAAAUAUAAAACCCUCAUCGAGGAUCAAUUGGAGGGCGAGUCUGGUGCCAGCAGCCGCGGUAAUUCCAGCUCCAAUAGCGUAUAUUAAAGUUGUUGCAGUUAAAAAGCUCGUAGUUGAAUUUCUGUCAGGAGCGACCGGGCCUUUGGAUGAACUUCCAUUGUUUUUUGCUCUGUUUGUCGUCUCUAGACAUCCUGAAAUAUUUUUUUUGAAUAUUUCUCUUUUACUGUUAGCAAAAUAGAGUGUUCCAAGCAAAGCGUAGUUUUGAAUACAUUAGAAUGGAAUAAUAAGAUAGGACUUUGGUGCUAUUUUGUUGGUUUGCACACCAAGGUAAUGAUUAAUAGGGACAGUUGGGGGUAUUCGUAUUUAAUUGUCAGAGGUGAAAUUCUUGGAUUUAUGAAAAGACGAACUACCUGCGAAAGCAUUUACCAAGGAUGUUUUCAUUAAUCAGAG